rnacentral:rRNA from 1 species
UUGACCUCAAAUCAGGCAGGACUACCCGCUGAACUUAAGCAUAUCAAUAAGCGGAGGAAAAGAAACUAACAAGGAUUCCCCUAGUAACGGCGAGUGAAGAGGGAAAAGCUCAAAUUUAAAAUCUGGCGGUCUACGGCCGUCCGAGUUGUAAUCUAGAGAAGUGUUUUCCGCGCUGGACCGUGUACAAGUCCUUUGGAACAAGGCGUCAUAGAGGGUGAGAAUCCCGUCUACGACACGGACUGCCAAGCGCUUUGUGAUACACUCUCAACGAGUCGAGUUGUUUGGGAAUGCAGCUCAAAAUGGGUGGUAAAUUCCAUCUAAAGCUAAAUAUUGGCGAAAGACCGAUAGCGAACAAGUACCGUGAGGGAAAGAUGAAAAGCACUUUGGAAAGAGAGUUAAACAGUACGUGAA